AGGGAUUCCAAUGAACUGUCAGUGGUGGUCGGUGGAUGGCUAAACUGACAUGGCCAUAGACACAGUUAAGGGGGGUGGUCAUGAUGUAUGUAAUGUUUACAUUGAAUAUUGACAAAUUUGUAAAGAAUAUCCUGUUUAGUUUUGUUUUUUUGUUAAUUGUGUAGCGAAAUUUGUGAAAUUGUGAUAGCAAAUUAAAUAUGAAGUGGUUUAAACAUUGGAUACGCCUAUGGAUGACAGUUUCGCCAUCCAGCAGCCAUAUUAUAUCACGUGAUUUGGAAUGCCUAAUAAGGAACAAGCAGAAGGCCCACUCUCUUUGGCGGGAGAAGUACGCGCAACUCGUUUGCGUCUGAGGAAUCGGCCAUUUGUUGAGAGGAAGCAGUGCUGUUCAGUGGAAUUUCACCUCGUGUGCAUUAGAAAGUUCAGUGGUAGCGUGUAUUGUGUAUUCACUGUCAUUAAUUUGUGUUGUGUCACGUUGUGUUGUUAUUGUGUGCUAUACAUAAAUAAAUAUAUUAUACAGUACGUAAAUCGUACAACUGGACAUAGGGAAUAUACACUAAGAGAAUUGUGGCAACUAAGCUAACCUGUGAUAGUUGAAGCUUCUGUUCGAGUACGAGUUUUUGGUGCAAUAGAGCUGUUAUAAUGAAUAGAAUGAGUGAGUGUUGAAGCAAGGCUGUCCAUAAAUAGAUCAAAAACAAAGUUUAUGAUAAAUGAGGCAAAAUGGGCAAGUCUCAUCUAGUAUGUGCAGCAAUAAAUUGCGACAGCAAAGCAUAUAAUUGCAAUUUGUCUUUUUUCGGUUUUCCGAAAGACAAGGAAAGGUAAAAUAUACUGAAUAUCAUGCAGAUGCCAAUUUAAGUUGAAUUAUCAAAUAAUUAUUAUUAGAUUGAAGUUUACUGCUGUAAUUCUUAAAUUUGUUUUAAAUAUAUAUUUCAACUUCGAA